GACGAACGCUGGCGGCGCGCCUAACACAUGCAAGUCGAACGAGCGAGAGAGAGCUUGCUUUCUCGAGCGAGUGGCGAACGGGUGAGUAACGCGUGAGGAACCUGCCUCAAAGAGGGGGACAACAGUUGGUAACGACUGCUAAUACCGCAUAAGCCCACGGCUCGGCAUCGAGCAGGGGGAAAAGGAGCAAUCCGCUUUGAGAUGGCCUCGCGUCCGAUUAGUUAGUUGGUGGGGUAACGGCCCACCAAGGCGACGAUCGGUAGCCGGACUGAGAGGUUGACCGACCACAUUGGGACUGGGACACGGCCCAGACUCCUACGGGAGGCAGCAGUGGGGAAUAUUGCACAAUGGGGGAAAGCCUGAUGCAGCGACGCCGCGUGGAGGAAGAAGGUCUUCGGAUUGUAAACUCCUGUUGUAGGGGAAGAUAGUGACGGUACCCAACAAGGAAGUGACGGCUAACUACGUG
rnacentral:rRNA from 1 species